AUUGAACGCUGGCGGCAUGCUUUACACAUGCAAGUCGAACGGCAGCGCGGGCUUCGGCCUGGCGGCGAGUGGCGAACGGGUGAGUAAUGCAUCGGAACGUGCCCAGUAGUGGGGGAUAGCCCGGCGAAAGCCGGAUUAAUACCGCAUACGACCUGAGGGUGAAAGCGGGGGACCGAAAGGCCUCGCGCUAUUGGAGCGGCCGAUGUCGGAUUAACUAGUUGGUGGGGUAAAGGCUUACCAAGGCGACGAUCCGUAGCUGGUCUGAGAGGACGACCAGCCACACUGGGACUGAGACACGGCCCAGACUCCUACGGGAGGCAGCAGUGGGGAAUUUUGGACAAUGGGGGCAACCCUGAUCCAGCCAUGCCGCGUGCGGGAAGAAGGCCUUCGGGUUGUAAACCGCUUUUGUUCGGGAAGAAAUCCUCUGGGCUAAUACCCCGGGGGGAUGACGGUACCGGAAGAAUAAGCACCGGCUAACUACGUG
rnacentral:rRNA from 1 species